rnacentral:rRNA from 1 species
CAAUAGCGUAUAUUAAAGUUGUUGCAGUUAAAAAGCUCGUAGUUGGAUUUGUGGCGUACGGUGUGUUCCGGGCACUUGUUGUCUGAGUAACCUGCUGUUGCCAUCCUUGGGUGGAACCUGUGUGGCAUUAGGUUGUCGUGCAGGGGAUGCCCAUCAUUUACUGUGAAAAAAUUAGAGUGUUCAAAGCAGGCUUAUGCCGUUGAAUAUAUUAGCAUGGAAUAAUGAGAUAGGAAUUUUUUGCUAUUUUGUUGGUUUGCGCAAAGAGGUAAUGAUUAAUAGGGACAGUUGGGGGUAUUCGUAUUCCAUUGUCAGAGGUGAAAUUCUUGGAUUUUUGGAAGACGAACUACUGCGAAAGCAUUUACCAAGGAUGUUUUCAUUAA